AGUGAACGCUGGCGGUAGGCCUAACACAUGCAAGUCGAACGGCAGCACAGUAAUAGCUUGCUCUUACGGGUGGCGAGUGGCGGACGGGUGAGGAAUACAUCGGAAUCUACUUUUUCGUGGGGGAUAACGUAGGGAAACUUACGCUAAUACCGCAUACUACCUACGGGUGAAAGCAGGGGAUCUUCGGACCUUGCGCGAUUGAAUGAGCCGAUGUCGGAUUAGCUAGUUGGCGGGGUAAAGGCCCACCAAGGCGACGAUCCGUAGCUGGUCUGAGAGGAUGAUCAGCCACACUGGAACUGAGACACGGUCCAGACUCCUACGGGAGGCAGCAGUGGGGAAUAUUGGACAAUGGGCGCAAGCCUGAUCAAGCCAUACCGCGUGGGUGAAGAAGGCCUUCGGGUUGUAAAGCCCUUUUGUUGGGAAAGAAAAGCAGCAGGUUAAUACCCCGCUGUUCUGACGGUACCCAAAGAAUAAGCACCGGCUAACUUCGUG
rnacentral:rRNA from 1 species